UUACGGCCACAUCACGCUGAGUCACCGGUUCCUGUAUGGUUACCGAAGUUAAGCAACGCCGAGCCUAGUCAGUACCUAGAUGGGUGACCGCUUGGGGAUACCACGUACUGGA